rnacentral:rRNA from 1 species
AUGAGCGCCGCGGAGCACAAGGAGAUCGCCGUCGUCGCCGCCAAGAGGCGGAGGGACGGCAAGGAGGAGGCGGCGGCGGCGGAGGAGGAGGUGGUGGAGCCGCUGUCGGCGCUGGCGGACGACGUGCUGCUGCAGAUCCUGGGACGCCUCGAGGGCGACCCGCGCGACUGGGCGCGCGCGUCCUGCGCGUCCCCGCGCCUCGCCGCGCUCCUCCGGGCCGCCUGCUUCCCUCCGCGCCUCUCCCGGGCGCUCCCCGCCGAGCUGCUCCCCGCGGACGGGGCGCCCGCCGCGUGGGCCGCGCUCCACAAGAUGUCCGUCUGCUGCCCCGGCCUCCUCCGCGCCGGGAUCCUCCUCGAGCCCUCCGACGACUUCGGCCUCGAGCUCGACAUCGGCCCCGACCUCACAGUCCCCGCCUCCUCGUCAUCCUCCUCCUCGUCCCUCGAGCCCACGGCCACCUCCUCGCUCCAGCCGCCCAGGACCGCAGAGCCUGAGCCCAAACCCAGCGAUGCACUGGCCGCCGCCGACGCCGCCGCGUGGUCCCUCUACGAUGACCUGUACCUGGACGCGGCCUACGACUGCUCCGAGACGCAGAUCGCCGCCGCGCCCGCGCCGGCGGCAACGGCAGAGGCAGAGGAGGAGGAGAAGCCACCGGCAGCCAAUACCGCCCGGCGCGGCGUGGUGUCGGGGACCCGCCGGCGGGCGCGGCGGUGGCUGGGGCCCGUGGGCGCGCACCUGGCGUCGGGGUCGUGGACGCUGAGCCGCGAGCAGGGCAACAAGCUGCUGGCCAGCCGGUUCCGCGGCGACCGGCUGUACAUCUGCGAGUGGCCCGGGUGCGUGCACGCGGAGGAGCGGCGCAAGUACAUGGUGUUCCGCGGCGUGUUCCAGGACUUCGCGCGCUCCCAGGUGCGGCGCGCGCUGCGGGACACGCGGCGCCCCACGGUCGCCGUGGACUGCGCCUUCUGCGGCUGCACGGAGGCGUGGGACCUCUACUCCGCCUUCUGCCUCCGGAGCUUCUACGGGUACCACGACGACGGCGAGCCCGUGGUGCGCGCCUACGUCUGCGAGAACGGCCACGUCGCCGGCGCCUGGACCGAGCGCCCGCUCUACGCCUGA